CCUACGGGGGGCAGCAGUGGGGAAUAUUGGACAAUGGGGGCAACCCUGAUCCAGCCAUGCCGCGUGUGUGAAGAAGGCCCUCGGGUUGUAAAGCACUUUCAGUGAGGAAGAACGCCUGGUGGUUAAUACCCAUCAGGAAAGACAUCACUCACAGAAGAAGCACCGGCUAACUCCGUGCCAGCAGCCGCGGUAAUACGGAGGGUGCGAGCGUUAAUCGGAAUUACUGGGCGUAAAGCGCGCGUAGGUGGCUUGAUAAGCCGGUUGUGAAAGCCCCGGGCUCAACCUGGGAACGGCAUCCGGAACUGUCAAGCUAGAGUGCAGGAGAGGAAGGUAGAAUUCCCGGUGUAGCGGUGAAAUGCGUAGAGAUCGGGAGGAAUACCAGUGGCGAAGGCGGCCUUCUGGACUGACACUGACACUGGGGUGCGAAAGCGUGGGUAGCAAACAGGAUUAGAUACCCUAGUAGUC
rnacentral:rRNA from 1 species